AACGCAAUGGACAGGUUGUGUUGCUAGGUUCAGCACCGGAUCCACGGAUCCAAAACGACUUCGUGAACUUGGCAAACCAAUUGCAUUCUACUCACGGUGACAGAGCUCGGUUGUUCUAACCUACGAUGAACCUCUUUCCCAUUUGAUAUACGCAGGGGCUGACUUUAUUCUUGUACCGUCCAUAUUUGAGCCGUGUGGGCUGACACAGCUCAUAGCCAUGAGAUACGGCC